ACGCUGGCGGCGUGCCUAAUACAUGCAAGUCGAACGCACAGCGAAAGGUGCUUGCACCUUUCAAGUGAGUGGCGAACGGGUGAGUAACACGUGGACAACCUGCCUCAAGGCUGGGGAUAACAUUUGGAAACAGAUGCUAAUACCGAAUAAAACUUAGUGUCGCAUGACACAAAGUUAAAAGGCGCUUCGGCGUCACCUAGAGAUGGAUCCGCGGUGCAUUAGUUAGUUGGUGGGGUAAAGGCCUACCAAGACAAUGAUGCAUAGCCGAGUUGAGAGACUGAUCGGCCACAUUGGGACUGAGACACGGCCCAAACUCCUACGGGAGGCUGCAGUAGGGAAUCUUCCACAAUGGGCGAAAGCCUGAUGGAGCAACGCCGCGUGUGUGAUGAAGGCUUUCGGGUCGUAAAGCACUGUUGUAUGGGAAGAACAGCUAGAAUAGGAAAUGAUUUUAGUUUGACGGUACCACACCAGAAAGGGACGGCUAAAUGCGUGCCAGCAGCCGCGGUAAUACGUAUGUCCCGAGCGUUAUCCGGAUUUAUUGGGCGUAAAGCGAGCGCAGACGGUUUAUUAAGUCUGAUGUGAAAGCCCGGAGCUCAACUCCGGAAUGGCAUUGGAAACUGGUUAACUUGAGUGCAGUAGAGGUAAGUGGAACUCCAUGUGUAGCGGUGGAAUGCGUAGAUAUAUGGAAGAACACCAGUGGCGAAGGCGGCUUACUGGACUGCAACUGACGUUGAGGCUCGAAAGUGUGGGUAGCAAAC
rnacentral:rRNA from 1 species